CUCUUAUGAAGUUAGCGGCGGACGGGUGAGUAACACGUGGGUAACCUGCCCAUAAGACUGGGAUAACUCCGGGAAACCGGGGCUAAUACCGGAUAACAUUUUGAACCGCAUGGUUCGAAAUUGAAAGGCGGCUUCGGCUGUCACUUAUGGAUGGACCCGCGUCGCAUUAGCUAGUUGGUGAGGUAACGGCUCACCAAGGCAACGAUGCGUAGCCGACCUGAGAGGGUGAUCGGCCACACUGGGACUGAGACACGGCCCAGACUCCUACGGGAGGCAGCAGUAGGGAAUCUUCCGCAAUGGACGAAAGUCUGACGGAGCAACGCCGCGUGAGUGAUGAAGGCUUUCGGGUCGUAAAACUCUGUUGUUAGGGAAGAACAAGUGCUAGUUGAAUAAGCUGGCACCUUGACGGUACCUAACCAGAAAGCCACGGCUAACUACGUGCCAGCAGCCGCGGUAAUACGUAGGUGGCAAGCGUUAUCCGGAAUUAUUGGGCGUAAAGCGCGCGCAGGUGGUUUCUUAAGUCUGAUGUGAAAGCCCACGGCUCAACCGUGGAGGGUCAUUGGAAACUGGGAGACUUGAGUGCAGAAGAGGAAAGUGGAAUUCCAUGUGUAGCGGUGAAAUGCGUAGAGAUAUGGAGGAACACCAGUGGCGAAGGCGACUUUCUGGUCUGUAACUGACACUGAGGCGCGAAAGCGUGGGG
rnacentral:rRNA from 2 species